AUCUAGCUGACGAGUCCGACAUAGGACGAAGUGCGCGUCAUGGAU
rfam:Schistosoma curassoni strain Dakar, Senegal genome assembly, scaffold: SCTD_contig0000551